AAUAGUAACAAUUCAUUGCAUUUAGUACUGUUAAGUACACUGUGAACAAUAGUUCCACCAUAAUACAUUACUGCAUAUAUAUGUAGCUGCUUACGUGCAGAAAUACUGUUUGCCAGACAUGCUGCCUUUAAAAAAUGCUUUCUUAAAAGAGAAAUUUUGGAUAACUGCAAACCUUCAUUGUAUUGUCAGCCCAGAAACACUACACAGCAGAGAGGCAAAGGCCCCACAGAAACUCCAGCUGACUGUCAAGUUCAGUUCAACCUGUGGGAGAAGCCUUCUCAGCUGGUCACAGGCAUACAGCUGACAGACAUCAGUUGGAGCUGAGGGCUCGUUAGCCUUACCUUCAGGAGCUGUGCUACAGGCAUGGCACUGUGUUGCGCAGUUCAGGAGCCGGUGGACAAGGGAGCAGACUUGGAGCAUCAUGAAAGAUGAACAACGGAACAUAACCAGGAUUUUUGUGGCGACCUUGUGGAGGCAAGUGAUCAAAUCAUGGAGUGAUGGUAAGAAGGGAAAGCUAAGGACCAUAGAUGGGCAGCUGCUGAAUAUAGAUUCCCAGUGUGGACAAAGCUUGUGACCUCAGGCAGCAGAAGAUGCUCUUCUUCACUAGCCUUAGGUAUGAAAUUUCAGAAUUGUUUUGAUGCUGUUGGAGACAAAGAAAGGGACAAGGUACAGUCGGGAAGGGCUCAGAGCUAGUUUAAAGCCAGAACUUUAAGCUAGUUUGUUGAGGGAUGGCAGUAACAAACCAGCGUAGAGUGUGAGAACACGGGUCAUUGGUGCUAAUACUGGGGCAUGUCGACAGGAGGUGGCCCUUGUGGAAGCUGCCAAAGGUUGAAGAGGGUCCACCUCAAGAGCCUGAAUGCAGUUCACAGCCAGGAAAAGACUAGGAGGAGCAAGAACUCCUGUGUGCAGACACAAAAUACAAUGAAGGUGUGAUGGGAUGGUACAUGUGGCUGCAGCUGCUUGGAUGCAGGGAGCCCUUUGGAAGGGGGUUAGCAGGCUGAUUUGGAGCCUUGCGAUGUAGGACGUAAGAGACCAAGUAUCCUGCUGUGGAGUUGGAUUAGGUUACCCAUUUCUCAUGAAGAAGUAGGUAGAGUUGUCUUGAAAGCAUCUCAAGGAACUCCGAAGUUGCAAACCAUGGUUAUUACAGGAGACUAAGUUCCCUGAUCAAUGCCAGAAAGCCACCAUGAGGGAUCUUGGAGGUUUCAGAAGGGAAUGAGAAACAACUGAACCAGUGCUGGACUGGCUAACAAGGCUGGUGCUCCUGGAUCUGCUGCAUGUCACUUUUAACUUGUGUUUUCCCUCCUCCCUGCUCCUAGAAAUGUCCCAGACUGGGAGGAAGGGGUUAACUCCAAAAAGCCUACUGAGAUGGUUUAGCAAAGUAUUUCACUAGAAACACUGUUACUAGUGUGGUUCUGUGAGCCAACUGCUGACCCCUUUCAUAGUUCUGUGGAUCGCACUUCAUAAACACAGGAGGAUGCAGUUCACCUCUGUAACAAUUUCAUUACUUUUGACACCCAGCAGUGCCAGGUGACAGUACAUCAGAAAAAAAUUCCCAGGUAGGUAUGAGAUAAAUGUAUUGAUCAGUACAAAGCAUAGAUUUGAACAAUAUGCCAACUGUAGAGUGCAGGCUGGACCAGAAAGCAAGAGAGAGGACGGCCAUGACAGAAAUAGUUUCACUUUGUUUUAAACACUGAACUGAAAACUAAUAGAUGUUUUUAGUAUUUGUUUUCUCUGCUGCUCCAAGACUGAGAGCAGUAAGCGUAAGAGUUCAUUGCCAUUGAUCAUGGCCUCUGCAAGCAAUUAUUUAUUCAAACUGAUGUUAAUAGAACCUGAAAAAUACAAGAAUCUGGCCUGCAUGUCACCUCUUCACUACUGAUGAGGCUGUGGCCCCUGGCUGGUGCCUUCCUCGGCAGUUGCUAUCUCAUCUGAUUGGCUUUGGUUUUCAGCAAUGCAAAGAGCCCGAGGAUUUUCUGGGUUACCGUGUGGCUUGGAACUCUGCUGAGAGCCGAAGGAGCUGAGAAAGCCGAGCGGUGCUGCGCGGGGUCACGAGAUGGCGCCUCCGCUUCCAGGCUGCGCGGGAACGCAGCUGCAACACGACUGCUGUCCUUAGCUCACUUCAGCUAGUCUAAAUCAGGUGCAGCUGAGGCAUCACUAGUGCUGCUCGAAGGAGACAUGACAUAAAGGAUUUUUAAUACUAUCAGAACCAGCGCUCCGUUCUUAUGAUGUGAACCGAGAGCAGCUCACGUAUUAUCUGCAGUAAGACCACCGCCAGCAACAAAAACGUCUGUACGUUCAAAAGGCAAACACCUACCGUCUUUGUUGUUGCAAACGAAGAUUAAGCAUUUAUCUAGCUGCUGCAUUGCUCUUCGUGGCUCACAAAAUCAGCAUGUGAGAAGCAAGCCUAGCUUUGGUACUCUUACACGGAGUCAUUUUUCUUUGAAGUAGAGACUUAACUGCUUUUUCUGUGUGAAACGUGUAUCAUUAGCACGCUAAUCAGAAUACAAAAAGCUCGCAAAGGGGAUAAUGAGGGAGAACUUGUAUGUAAUACUUGUUUUACAUCCACGUGACUCUGUAGAGAAAUGUUUUGUUUCGCUGAGCUGUCCUUAAUUUGAGGUUUCUUGCUUAAUGAGACUUCAAACAAAUUCUGCAUUGUGGGUUUCAGGUUUUCAUCCCAGAG